rnacentral:rRNA from 1 species
CAUGCAGUCGAGCGGGCAUUUUCGGAUGUCAGCGGCAGACGGGUGAGUAACACGUGGGAACGUACCCUUCGGUUCGGAACAACUCUGGGAAACUGGAGCUAAUACCGGAUACGCCCUUAUGGGGAAAGGUUUACUGCCNAAGGAUCGGCCCGCGUCUGAUUAGCUAGUUGGUGGGGUAACGGCCUACCAAGGCGACGAUCAGUAGCUGGNCUGAGAGGAUGAUCANCCACA